CUUACCCUCUACCCUCUCUCAUUGUUUGUGUAUUGUGAAGAGGGUUCCUUGUUUUUUCUCUCAUUUCUAUUUGUUUAGCUAGGGUCUAGUUCCUCCUUAUUCUGCCGACCAGCGGCUCCCUCUGCCCCUCAAGGGUAGGGGGAGCUCGUCCCUCAGCCCGAAUAUGGGUUACACCCUCCCCUCCGGGAUGGGUUGAAGGUAGGUUAUUUUAUUUUUGGUUUACAAGUCAGUAGUUCAUUUGAUUUAUUUGACUCUGUGUUAGCUUGCAUGUAUUUUUUUUGUUUGUGUUGUUGCUCUUGCAGAGAAAUUGCUUCAAUGGCUGUGGUAGAGAAAGGGAGGUACCCCGAGGAUCAAGAGUUGACCGAGUGAGUGUCACCCCCUUCGGCUAUAUCAAAAUGAGAAGCCACAGGGCUCUACGUUUCUCUCAAAUUUCUACUCCCUUCAAGCUUUGGAUCUAGGGGCCUUAGCACUACUUUUGUGGGUUUGGGUUUUCUGGAUCUUUCCUACCCAUUCAAUUUCAACAGCGGUGCUUCCAUGGCUGGUGCUUCUAUUUUUAGGAGGUCUUCUAGCUUGCCUGUCCUUUUUCACCAUGGGUUGCUUUCGGGACUCUCUUUUAAGGCAAUAUCAGCCAUCUGUAGUCCAUUGAUGCUUCAAUCGAAGUUGUCUUUCCCUGGUGAAAGUUCAGUCAUCUCUCUGCACAGCUCCUUCUACCGCAGCUUUUGGUUUCUUUAGGCGGGUCAUGGGCCUGGGCAAUGGUGCAUCAUCAACUAGGGUUUUGUGAAGGGCUUUGACCCUCUUUUAGAAUAUGGUUGGGUUUGUUUAGAUAGGCCUCUGUAAAUUGGGUCAUGAGUCCUUUUUCUAAACUAAAAUUAUAAAUUGUUUCAUAUAUCAAUAAAUUUUAAUAUCUU
rnacentral:misc_RNA from 1 species